AGGAGAUGGAGGGCGGCCGACGGCCUUGAGCUGAGGAAAGUCCCCUCUCCAUGAGCAAAGCAGCCGUAAGGGGCCCGAGAGGGUCGGCAAUGAAGCAGAAACGACACAGCCCCAUCAUGUGGAAUGAUCGUCUUGGACGUGACGUCGAUGGAGGAUUUGAUGAAACGAACAUCCCUGCUGGAGCAAUUCCAAGUAACCGCGACGACCUGCUCGGGAGCGGUAGGUAGGAAGCAUAGCUGAAUGCCGCUAGCCGGAAUUUCCGGGUAACAGAAAGGGGCUUACUCCCAUCACCU
rnacentral:RNase_P_RNA from 2 species